AUUGAACGCUGGCGGCAUGCCUUACACAUGCAAGUCGAACGGCAGCAUGAUCUAGCUUGCUAGAUUGAUGGCGAGUGGCGAACGGGUGAGUAAUACAUCGGAACGUGCCCUGUAGUGGGGGAUAACUAGUCGAAAGAUUAGCUAAUACCGCAUACGACCUGAGGGUGAAAGUGGGGGACCGCAAGGCCUCAUGCUAUAGGAGCGGCCGAUGUCUGAUUAGCUAGUUGGUGAGGUAAAGGCUCACCAAGGCGACGAUCAGUAGCUGGUCUGAGAGGACGAUCAGCCACACUGGGACUGAGACACGGCCCAGACUACUACGGGAGGCAGCAGUGGGGAAUUUUGGACAAUGGGCGAAAGCCUGAUCCAGCAAUGCCGCGUGUGUGAAGAAGGCCUUCGGGUUGUAAAGCACUUUUGUCCGGAAAGAAAUGGCUCUGGUUAAUACCUGGGGUCGAUGACGGUACCGGAAGAAUAAGGACCGGCUAACUACGUG
rnacentral:rRNA from 1 species